rnacentral:rRNA from 1 species
GACGAACGCUGGCGGCGUGCUUAACACAUGCAAGUCGAACGAAGUGGCGAACGGGUGAGUAACGCGUAAUCAACCUGCCCUUCAGAGGGGGACGACAGUUGGAAACGACUGCUAAUACCGCAUACUGAAGGAGGGGAUUGCGUCUGAUUAGCUAGUUGGAGGGGUAACGGCCCACCAAGGCGAUGAUCAGUAGGCCGGCGUGGGGGGAGAAAGGCCAACAUGGGGAUGGGGAAAGGGCCCGAAUCCUUAGGGAGGCCAGCAUGGGGAAUCUUCCGCAAUGGACGAAAGUCUGACGGAGCAACGCCGCGUGAGUGAUGACGGCCUUCGGGUUGUAAAGCUCUGUUAAUCGGGACGCGGUACCGGAAUAGAAAGCCACGGCUAACUACGUGCCAGCAGCCGCGGUAAUUC